GUUUUAAAUCAAUUUAUUGUUGACUGUGCUGAGUCUCUGUUGUUGAGCACGCCUGUCUCUAGUUGCCCCGCGCAGAAUUCUCACUGCCAGUGGUUUCUCCUGCUGUGGAGCACCAGCUCUAGGGCAGGUGAGCUCAGUAGUUGUGGAGCACGGGCUUAGUUGUCCUGUGGCAUGUGGAAUCUUCCUGGACCAGGGGUCACACCUGUGUCCCCUGCAGGUGGACUCCGAACCACUGGACCACCAGGGAAGUCCUUCACUAUGUUCUUAUUGCUCGUUUUUUUUUCCUUGAAUAGUCUUUUAAGAACUCUAUUUUACUGACCUUUUCAAAGAAGCAGCUUUAGAUAAAAUAGGUAGUUCUACUGCUUUCAUUUUGUAAUUCAUAAGUUUCUGCUUUUAUUUCAUUCUUCUCUCCGGCUUUCCUUGGACUUUGUUCUGUUACUCUCUUUCUAGAGUCUUCCAUACCUCAUUCACUCAUGUUCAGACUCACACACUUUUAACAAUGGAAGGAGGUGGAGAAUGGCAUGGGGUGGCUGUGGCUUGAGGUCCUGCUCCAGCCCCGCGGUUCUGUCAUCCCUGUGACCAUGGACAGGGCCCUCCACUACUGAGGUGUGGGACCUGUCUGAGAGAGGCUACUGAUGCCACCCAGGAGGAUGUACCAAUGCCAGUUGGUGGCUGGGGCCUGGCAGACCCAUGGAGAGGGAAUUCAGCAAAGAGAAGCAGUGAACCGCUGUCGCCUCCUUCAACUUUUGACUUCUAACGCUCAUCUCCAUGGCUAGACCCUGAGCUGGUCCCCAGGAACACAGCACUGGACCAAGAUCCGCCUGUUUGACUGCUGCCUGCUUGGAAUUCACUUUGUCUGAUGUAGACAGGGCAGACCUUCACCCCACCGCACCCCCGGCCUAGCCAUGUCUCAUUUGCGUUUGACUGAAGUACCCGUGGAAAGUUAUUUUCAACUGAAAUUUGAAACUAUUUUUACGUCUUUGUGCCUAUGUAUGUGUGUUCAUUUUACACUGUUAAAUUGGUAGCUAUUUUGCUCUUUCUACUUCAGGUUAUGUUGUGGGCACAGUUACCCUCUGAAACCAUGCACCUGUUCUGAUUGAGGCCCCUGGGCAUUCCAGGUGGGAGACUAUCACUGCUGCCUUGUGGGCUACAGCAGCUGGGGUCCAGCAUUUUGUGAUGACAGAUGACUGUCACAGAUGCCUUUGGGCAAAUCCCUCAUGGCCUUGCAUUCCCCCCUGGGACCCCAAAGGGAAGCAGCAGUCGCCUAGUCCUCCUUGCUCACUGCCCUGUGCCCCCCAGAUGGCUCAGUGGCCAGUGACGGACUUACAUCUGCUCACACUAUGAGCGUGUGGUGGUUUCUUGACGCCACUUUAAUGUUCAGGCCUUUAGCCGGUGGCA
ensembl:lncRNA